UUACGGCCGCAUCAAGAUGAAACAUUGGUUCCCGUACGAUCACUUAAAGUUAAGCAACGUCGAGCCUGCUCUGUACCUAGAUGGGUGACUGCUUAGGAAUACCAGGUGCUGUAA